AUCUAAAGGACCCAAUUCAUCUAAUAAAUCAAGUCAGAAGCGAUUCUGGGCCGUCGGAUCACGAUUUGGGUGAAGCGCUGCCGUUGGAUCGCGCUGCAGAGAUGGGAUCAGGUCGGAUGCAUCGCGGACCGUCCGAUCAAGGCGCUGGAAGAUUUCGUCCGUUGGAUCACGCUGCAGAAGGAUCCCGUGUUGUCCUAGUGUUUAUUGAUUCUUGCAAUUGCCUUGAUUACGGUU
rnacentral:lncRNA from 1 species